AGGUGCGAUCACACCAGCACUAAUGCACCGGAUCCCAUCAGAACUCGCUAGAUAAGCGUGCUUGGGCGAGAGUAGAACUAGGAUGGGUGACCUCCUGGGAAGUCCUCGUGUUGCACUUC
rnacentral:rRNA from 1 species